GAUGAGCGCUGGCGGCGUGCUUAACACAUGCAAGUCGAACGGAAAGGCCCAAGCUUGCUUGGGUGCUCGAGUGGCGAACGGGUGAGUAACACGUGGGUGAUCUGCCCUGCACUUCGGGAUAAGCCUGGGAAACUGGGUCUAAUACCGGAUAGGACGAUGUUUUGGAUGCCAUUGUGGAAAGUUUUUUCGGUGUGGGAUGAGCUCGCGGCCUAUCUGCUUGUUGGUGGGGUAAUGGCCUACCAAGGCGUCGACGGGUAGCCGGCCUGAGAGGGUGUACGGGGACAUUGGGAGUGAGAGACGGCGCAGAGACUUACGGGAGGCGGAAGUGGGGAAUAUAGCACAAUGGGGGCAAGACUGAUGCAGCGAAGCCGCGUGGGGGAUAACGGCGUUCGGGUGGUAAACUCCUUUCGCGAGGGAGGAAGAGUGUGUGUGACGGUAACUGGUAAAGAAGCACCGGCUAACUACGUG
rnacentral:rRNA from 1 species